AGUAGAGUGGCUGAGGAAAAUAAGCGUUAGAUUGUAAAUCUAUAAACAAGUAGAACUUCUUUACUA
rnacentral:tRNA from 1 species